rnacentral:rRNA from 1 species
UACGAAGGGGGCUAGCGUUGCUCGGAAUUACUGGGCGUAAAGGGCGCGUAGGCGGCACUGUUAGUCAGGCGUGAAAUCCCUCGGCUUAACCGGGGAACUGCGUCCGAUACUGGAUGGCUUGAGUAUGGGAGAGGGAUGCGGAAUUCCAGGUGUAGCGGUGAAAUGCGUAGAUAUCUGGAGGAACACCGGUGGCGAAGGCGGCAUCCUGGACCAUUACUGACGCUGAGGAGCGAAAGCCAGGGGAGCAAACGGG